UACGUAGGGUGCAAGCGUUGUCCGGAAUUAUUGGGCGUAAAGAGCUCGUAGGCGGUUUGUCGCGUCGAAUGUGAAAACCCGGGGCUCAACCCCGGGCCUGCAGUCGAUACAGGCAGACUAGAGUGCGGUAGGGGAGACUGGAAUUCCUGGUGUAGCGGUGAAAUGCGCAGAUAUCAGGAGGAACACCGAUGGCGAAGGCAGGUCUCUGGGCAUUAACUGACGCUGAGGAGCGAAAGCAUGGGGAGCGAACAGG
rnacentral:rRNA from 1 species